AGUCUGCAGAGGUUUACAGCCUGUUCCACGAUCUCGAAAGAAAAUUUGUGCGAACGAAGGCUACUCACUCACUUUCGUAUAAGAAUGCGUUCCACUAACUUUCGUUCUUUCUUUCGCAUAGCCUUACGUGAUUCAGUGUUGCUAAAUAUUUUUUUGGAAAAAUUAAUCGCGAAAUAAAGCAAAAAAAGCGUCAAAUGUCUAAUUUAAACGCGAAAAAGCAGCAGUGGCUCUGUCUCAACUGACAUUUCAGUUGUAAACAAACAAAUUAAAAUAAAAAAAAGAAUAUUUCCGUAGCCCUAUUUUUUAUGGAGGAGGUUCGAAAUGUGCCACGGAGGCAUUUAAGAGAUGCUUCGAAUUUAUUUGAAGUACCUAACAACCAGUUUGUGGCCAACUUUCGUGUGUCGAAGGAAGUUUUCGGGCUCUUUUGGAUAUGAUGGAAGAGAAGUGGGUGCCCGGUUGCAGAACUACCAAAUCCGCCCCGAUUUAAAACUUCUUCUGCUGCUUCCAAAAAUUGGCAUUCCUCUGGCGAACACAGGAUUCUCCUCCAUUUACUCAACUAGUGCCCGCAGCUGUGUAGUUGAUGAUUUUUUCGUGCUGGAAUUGAGAAAAUAAAAAAAAUAUAUAUUUGUUGUUCACAUAUUAAA